GGUUUUACCAUAGAUAUAACCCACUUCCUGUUUUUAGUCAGUGAAUUGUAUGGAUUUCCACUGCUGUGCGAUGGGGCUAGUGCUACGCCUCCUGCUGUCGAUGAAGUUCACGCUGAUUGCCCUUGACGAAACUUCCCGCUGCUGUGACGCUACGCUUCCCGCUGUUGAUUAAUUUCUCGUCGAUUUCGCUUGAUCAAACUUGAUGUCGCUGGUUUUCACACGAUGUUUCUAGCGUUACGCCUCCUGCUGUCGAUGAAGUCGAUUCCGCUUAUCAAAACUUCCCGUUGAUUUCCACACAAUGGGCCCUAUUAUAGAAAUCGAGGCGAUAAGAAUUUUACUCGUUAGCUCUAUUUUACUUUUAUAGAAAUCGAGCAAUUCGUUAGCACCGAGCGAGUGAUAACUAUCGAUGCAAGUGUCAGAACUUUUCGAGUUGUUUGGUUCACUUGUUGCAUAUCUUCAGAGAAUUAUUUUGUUUUAGCUUGCAUCCCUUUGGGAAACAUUUCAGAAACGCUUCAAUAUAUGCAAUUUGCAACACAUGUUCGUUUGUUUUGAUCAGCAUUUGUUUUACGGUGCUGCCAGAAUAGUCUAUACAAGCGCAAAUUUUAGUGGCUGAAAAUGAGUGGUGGAAAAAAAAAACCAAAUCACCACCAGUUUGAACGGCUCCUUGAAACAAUGGAAGCGAACGUAGACAUUGCUCGAGAUCUUUGUGGAGACAGUUCUAAUAUAAUCCCGGUGUAGGAAAAGUUGGAGGAAUCCAGAGAGGAACUUAAUGCACUGAGACCACCAAUGCAUCUAGGUUCAGAAUGGCAGAAAGUUUGGAUUGACAUGAGGGGAAAGGUAAAGAAAACACUAGUACACAACAAGCGAGAAUUUAGAGCAACAGGUGGUGGCCCCAAUACAAUAAAGCUAUCGACGCCGCUACAACAAGAAAUCAACGCUAAAUGAGAAUUAUAUGUUCCAUUACAUGAAUAACAAAAAUUGUUUUACUAAAAAAAAAAUAGGAGGUUGUGUCCAAGAUACGACCGCAUUGUUGACGUAGAACGCUGUUAUUUUAUAUAAGUCGCUUAUUCAUACCUUCGGAUAUUAUUCUAUAAUGCUGUGAAAUUUUAGAAACAACUGCUUAGUACAAUAAUCUCUAAAAUGGUUUCUUCAUUGUAGAAUCAGUUGACGAUAACUGAUUGAUGAUUCAUUCUUGCCCUAGCAGAACAAUACACUAGCUGAUCGUAUGUCGCAAUUUAUUUCAUGACUACGUCUAACCGGAAGAUAUAGGGGGUGAAAUGGAAAUCUAGGCACUGAACAAGUAGGAAAAAGGCAAGAUUUGGAACUCUUAUAA